rnacentral:rRNA from 1 species
AAACUUAAAUGAAUUGACGGGACCCCGCACAAGCGGUGGAUCAUGUUGUUUAAUUCGAUGAUACGCGAAGAACCUUACCAGGUCUUGACAUCCCCCGCAAUGCUAUGGAGACAUAGCGGAGGUAUUCGGGGAGACAGGUGGUGCAUGGUUGUCGUCAGCUCGUGUCGUGAGAUGUUGGGUUAAGUCCCGCAACGAGCGCAACCCUUAUUGCUAGUUACCAUCAUUGAGUUGGGGACUCUAGCGAGACUGCCAGUGAUAAACUGGGGGAAGGUGGGGAUGACGUCAAAUCAUCAUGCCCCUUAUGACCUGGGCUACAAACGUGAUACAAUGGCUGAAACAGAGGGAGGCGAAGGGGUGACCUGGAGCGAAACCCAGAAAAACAGUCUCAGUUCGGAUUGAAGUCUGCAACUCGACUUCAUGAAGUCGGAAUCGCUAGUAAUCGCGGAUCAGAACGCCGCGGUGAAUACGUUCUCGGGGUUU